rnacentral:tRNA from 1 species
CAAGUUAAAUUAUUUUUAUUUACACUAAAAAAAAUAUUGUUUAAUCAAUAUAACUUGA